rnacentral:tRNA from 1 species
GGCCGCGUGGCUCAAUGGAUAAAGCGUCUGCCUACGCAGCAGAAGAUUGCAGAUUCGAAUCCUGCCGUGGUCU